rnacentral:rRNA from 1 species
UACGGAGGGUGCAAGCGUUAUCCGGAUUUACUGGGCGUAAAGGGCUCGUAGGCGGCCAACUAAGUCGGACGUGAAAUCCCUCGGCUUAACCGGGGAACUGCGUCCGAUACUGGAUGGCUUGAGUUCGGGAGAGGGAUGCGGAAUUCCAGGUGUAGCGGUGAAAUGCGUAGAUAUCUGGAGGAACACCGGUGGCGAAGGCGGCAUCCUGGACCGACACUGACGCUGAGGAGCGAAAGCCAGGGGAGCAAACGGGG